rnacentral:rRNA from 1 species
GGAUAAAUACUGGAAGGUUUUAUUCUUCAAAGCUUCGGCACCUGAGGAUGGGACUGCGUCGGAUUAGCUUGUUGUCGGGAUAAUUACCCGACAAGGCGAUAAUCCGUACGGGUUGUGAGAGCAAUAGCCCGGAGAUGGAUUCUGAGACAUGAAUCCAGGUCCUACGGGACGCAGCAGGCGCGAAACCUUCACAAUGCCUGAAAGGGUGAUGAGGGAACUCUGAGUGACUUCGCAAUGCGAAGUCUUUUGCCAAGUGCAAAAAGCUCGGUGAAUAAGUGGUGGGCAAGACAGUUGCCAGCCGCCGCGGUAAUAACUGCGCCACGAGUGGUGAUCUCGUUUAUUGGGCUUAAAGCGUUCGUAGCCGGUUUUAUAAGCAUCUGGUGAAAUCCGAUAGUAAACUAUUGGGCUGGCUAGGUGUACUGUAAGACUAGGGACCGGUAGGGGCCGGGAGUACUCCUAGGGUAGGGGUUAAAUCCUUUAAUCCUAGGGGGACUACCAGUGGCGAAGGCGCCCGGCUAGAACGGGUCCGACGGUGAGGGACGAAAGCUGGGGGAGCGAUCCGGAUUAGAUACCCGGGUAGUCCCAGCUGUAAACGAUGCCCGCUUGGUGUGGUGAAACUUUCGUGGUUUUGCCGUACCGUAGCGAAAGUGUUAACCGGGCCGCCUGGGAAGUACGACCGC